UGGGGAAUAUUGGGCAAUGGGCGGAAAGCCUGACCCAGCAACGCCGCGUGAAGGAAGAAGGCUUUCGGGUUGUAAACUUCUUUUCUGAGGGACGAAGCAAGUGACGGUACCUUAGG
rnacentral:rRNA from 1 species